rnacentral:rRNA from 1 species
AUUGAACGCUGGCGGAAUGCUUUACACAUGCAAGUCGAACGGCAGCACGGGGCAACCUGGUGGCGAGUGGCGAACGGGUGAGUAAUACAUCGGAACGUGCCCAAUCGUGGGGGAUAACGUAGCGAAAGUUACGCUAAUACCGCAUACGAUCUACGGAUGAAAGCGGGGGAUCGCAAGACCUCGCGCGAAUGGAGCGGCCGAUGUCAGAUUAGGUAGUUGGUGGGGUAAAGGCUCACCAAGCCGACGAUCUGUAGCUGGUCUGAGAGGACGACCAGCCACACUGGGACUGAGACACGGCCCAGACUCCUACGGGAGGCAGCAGUGGGGAAUUUUGGACAAUGGGCGCAAGCCUGAUCCAGCCAUUCCGCGUGCAGGAUGAAGGCCUUCGGGUUGU